rnacentral:piRNA from 1 species
UUAAAAGCUGUUGGGUAAUUGAAGGU